AUUUACUAUGAAAGAGGUGAAUUACGGUUGGACAGACAUGUAGCGCAAAUGCCAGGUUUUGUUUACAUUUUGUUUUGUUCACAACGUGUACAUUUGGCUCCGUCCUUAAGGGGUUAAGCCAUUGCUUGGAAAAAGUGUUAAUAGUGCAGCAUUUUACUGUUUCCAUGACCGCUACAGUCACCCAAAUGGUGAGGUGGUCUGGGUGCAGUGGUCCUGUC